rnacentral:ncRNA from 1 species
UUCGGCCUCGCUGCCUCCUACAGGCAGCCCUCUGCAUGCCGUCGCCGAUUCAUUCCAAUACGAAUUCGUUCGCGAUCCUGUCGCCUUCCUUGCGGCGCGGC